UUAUUUUUUCAGCUUGUUUUAAUUGUGGUUUAAAAGGUUGGCUGAU
rnacentral:tRNA from 1 species